rnacentral:rRNA from 1 species
GACGAACGCUGGCGGCAUGCUUAACACAUGCAAGUCGAACGGAAAGGCCCUGCUUUUGUGGGGGGCUCGAGUGGCGAACGGGUGAGUAACACGUGAGUAACCUGCCCUUGACUUUGGGAUAACUUCAGGAAACUGGGGCUAAUACCGGAUAGGAGCUCCUGCUGCAUGGUGGGGGUUGGAAAGUUUCGGCGGUUGGGGAUGGACUCGCGGCUUAUCAGCUUGUUGGUGGGGUAGUGGCUUACCAAGGCUUUGACGGGUAGCCGGCCUGAGAGGGUGACCGGCCACAUUGGGACUGAGAUACGGCCCAGACUCCUACGGGAGGCAGCAGUGGGGAAUAUUGCACAAUGGGCGGAAGCCUGAUGCAGCAACGCCGCGUGCGGGAUGACGGCCUUCGGGUUGUAAACCGCUUUCGCCUGUGACGAAGCGUGAGUGACGGUAAUGGGUAAAGAAGCACCGGCUAACUACGUGCCAGCAGCCGCGGUGAUACGUAGGGUGCGAGCGUUGUCCGGAUUUAUUGGGCGUAAAGGGCUCGUAGGUGGUUGAUCGCGUCGGAAGUGUAAUCUUGGGGCUUAACCCUGAGCGUGCUUUCGAUACGGGUUGACUUGAGGAAGGUAGGGGAGAAUGGAAUUCCUGGUGGAGCGGUGGAAUGCGCAGAUAUCAGGAGGAACACCAGUGGCGAAGGCGGUUCUCUGGGCCUUUCCUGACGCUGAGGAGCGAAAGCGUGGGGAGCGAACAGGCUUAGAUACCCUGGUAGUCCACGCUGUAAACGGUGGGUACUAGGUGUGGGGUCCAUUCCACGGGUUCCGUGCCGUAGCUAACGCUUUAAGUACCCCGCCUGGGGAGUACGGCCGCAAGGCUAAAACUCAAAGGAAUUGACGGGGCCCCGCACAAGCGGCGGAGCAUGCGGAUUAAUUCGAUGCAACGCGUAGAACCUUACCUGGGUUUGACAUGGAUCGGGAGUGCUCAGAGAUGGGUGUGCCUCUUUUGGGGUCGGUUCACAGGUGGUGCAUGGCUGUCGUCAGCUCGUGUCGUGAGAUGUUGGGUUAAGUCCCGCAACGAGCGCAACCCUUGUUCACUGUUGCCAGCACGUUAUGGUGGGGACUCAGUGGAGACCGCCGGGGUCAACUCGGAGGAAGGUGGGGAUGACGUCAAGUCAUCAUGCCCCUUAUGUCCAGGGCUUCACGCAUGCUACAAUGGCUGGUACAGAGAGUGGCGAGCCUGUGAGGGUGAGCGAAUCUCGGAAAGCCGGUCUCAGUUCGGAUUGGGGUCUGCAACUCGACCUCAUGAAGUCGGAGUCGCUAGUAAUCGCAGAUCAGCAACGCUGCGGUGAAUACGUUCCCGGG